CUGCAGCUCUAAUGGACACCAAGAGUGGUCCUUCGCUGUUCAUUUCGAGAGCUUCACAGUUCAACCUAUGUCCAGCCUUCUAGCUUUAAUGUGUACUAUGAUAUAGUAUAUAAUGACCUGGAAAACCUAUUGCUUGAUUUAACUNCCAAAUGCAUCGGUCCAUUGCCAUUUUCACCCAGAAGAUUCUUACUAAUUCCAGUCUUAUCACCACCACCACCACUACUGCUACAUUUUUAUUCUCUCACUCCAAUACCUUAAACCCCAGGGCUAAUGGUUUUGCUUUAUUUCGCUUAUUCUCAUUUGUCCCAAGGCAACGACAGGC
rnacentral:misc_RNA from 1 species